rnacentral:tRNA from 1 species
GGCCAGUUAGCUCAGUCAGUUAGAGUGUGGUGCUGAUAACAUCAAGGUCGUGAGUUCGAUCCCCUUUUGGUCC